CAGCAGUAGGGAAUCUUCCGCAAUGGACGAAAGUCUGACGGAGCAACGCCGCGUGAGUGAUGAAGGUUUUCGGAUCGUAAAACUCUGUUGUUAGGGAAGAACAAGUACCGUUCGAAUAGGGCGGUACCUUGACGGUACCUAACCAGAAAGCCACGGCUAACUACGUGCCAGCAGCCGCGGUAAUACGUAGGUGGCAAGCGUUGUCCGGAAUUAUUGGGCGUAAAGCGCGCGCAGGCGGUUUCUUAAGUCUGAUGUGAAAGCCCCCGGCUCAACCGGGGAGGGUCAUUGGAAACUGGGGAACUUGAGUGCAGAAGAGGAGAGUGGAAUUCCACGUGUAGCGGUGAAAUGCGUAGAGAUGUGGAGGAACACCAGUGGCGAAGGCGACUCUCUGGUCUGCAACUGACGCUGAGGCGCGAAAGCGUGGGGAGCGAACAGGAUUAGA
rnacentral:rRNA from 1 species